ACUAUCUCAACCCCGCUGGGUUUUCUUUACCCGGUAGCUUGGGCUUUGGAUCGUGAUCGUCUGCCGGCUCGUCUCGUUACGGGUCUGGCUCGAUCAAAAGGUACGAGUGGCUGAUUUCCCCUGAUCCGGCCUGACUCGGCGUGAUAAUCAUUUCAUUCGCCGAAUGACGGAAUGUGGAGAAGGGGUAAUGAAAGGCUGCUACCAACCCAUCACUUGAUCA
rnacentral:misc_RNA from 1 species